GCAUUGGUGGUUCAGUGGUGGAAUUCUCGCCUUCCAUACUAGAGACUCGGGUUCAGUUCCCAGCCAGUGCA
rnacentral:tRNA from 1 species